CUACCAUGUGCCAGGCAGAGGUGGGCACAGACCAGGAGGCAGCGUCUCUAGGCCUCUCUCGUCAACAGAUUCCUAGACCCUCCAUUUCACUUUGCUGUGGGAUCCUGCCUGUCCUAUCUGUGGGUAGGGACUGUGGCCCCAGGGCCUGGAUCUGUACCUGGCAUAGAGUUGGCCUUAUUCACAAGUUAUGAUUGUUGGAAUUUCCUGUCUAUUCCUACCCAACACACUUGGUUAUGACAUAGAGCGUUAUGUCUAAGUCCAUCGUGAUAUGGAUGGAAAAGUCCUUUGAGAAGAAGCACAGAACAAAUUCCAAAUGCAAACUGUUUGUGUGGAAUUUCCAGUCUAUUCCUACCCGACACACUUGGUUAUGACAUAGAGAGUUAUGUCAAAGUCCAUCGUGAUACGGACGUAAAAGUCCUUUGAGAAGAAACACAGAACAAAUUCCAAACGCAAACUGGCAUUAAGGAGGUUUGGACCCGUGUUCGUUAAGAUCUCAUUGAAGUUGAACACCUGAUGACUUCCUUUUGCCCAGAGGAAGAAGAAUUCCUCUGCAUGGAAAAUGCCACUUUUAAGUACCAAUCCCAUUCUUGGGCAUAUUCUACAAUAACAUUAGGGACUAAAAUGCUAAAUUCUGUCUUCCGCUUCUACUGCGUGGAGCGUUUUCUGCAUCUGUACAAGAUUUCAGAAGUGGCUUUUCACCACGCCCAGUGGGAUAAUUUGAAUGGUCUGGAAUGCUCUGAAGAACCUGACUAGGUAUUUUCCCAACAACGCGAAGGCCGACUGCUGUUCCUGUCCUCACCUCUGUGUUUUGUAUGGGGCCUCUUUAUGUGCAGUAGCCUUCCUGUUUCCUUGGUUCCCUUGGAAACACUGUGGCGAAGGGGACUGGCUCAGUGGACUUCCCCUGGUGGUAUCAUUGUGUGCUUUUGACAGCACGCUUACCUUUGUCCAGCAAGCCCAAUGUGUCCCGUUUGUAGAGAUUUUCACUAGACAUGAAAGUCGGCCUCAGCUUAUUCAAACGAACCAAGUGGCCGCGCCGGUUGGCUCCACCAGCAUCCUUUUCUGUGGGCUCAUCUCUGACAACAUGGACAUGCUGCUCGAUUUUCAGGCGGUCGCUGUUGUCAUCGCCACGCUUACAGCUGCUAACCUCCAUACUGGCUGUUCCACCUGAGUCACUUCAAACCCAAAAGAAGCCCCAAGGUGAAAGUGAACUGGAGCUCCCCUGGACUUCCGUCGUCUCCCUGAUGAGACAAAGCCUGACCCAGAGACACUUUUGCCUCUUUCUGAUAAUGAAUUUCUUCCAAGUCGUCCACUUAACCUUCUUCAGUAACUUCAUGAUACUCUCCGUAGAGGGUCUCAUUCCCCUGGAGGUUCUUUCUUCUAUAUGGAGCGUCAUGUAAGGGGCAGGCUUCAUCUGCCCACAGUUCGCAGCCAUGUACCAGGCAGAGAUCCGCACAUGUUUGGAUUCUCAUGGAGUGAAGGGUUGUUCUGCGUCUGAAGAAAUCAUAAGUGCUUUUUUUAUUAUAAAAAUAAUACGUUUGCUGUAAAAUUUCAAACACUACCAAAUCAAAUAAAAAUUACCAGUCCGUUUUCAUU